rnacentral:rRNA from 1 species
GGCAGACGGGUGAGUAACAUGUGGGUAUCUGCCCUUUGGCCUGGAAUAACACGAGGAAACUUGUGCUAAUACUGGAUAAGUCUUUACGGAGAAAGCUUUAUGCACCAUUGGAUGAGCCCGCACUUGAUUAGUUUGUUGGUGGGGUAAUGGCCUACCAAGACUGUGAUCAAUAGCUGAUUUGAGAGGAUGAUCAGCCACAUUGGGACUGAGACACGGCCCAAACUCCUACGGGAGGCAGCAGUGGGGAAUCUUGCACAAUGGAGGAAACUCUGAUGCAGCGAUGCCGCGUGAGUGAAGAAGGCCUUUGGGUUGUAAAGCUCUUUCGUCGGGGAAGAAAAUGACUGUACCCGAAUAAGAAGGUCCGGCUAACUUCGUGCCAGCAGCCGCGGUAAUACGAAGGGACCUAGCGUAGUUCGGAAUUACUGGGCUUAAAGAGUUCGUAGGUGGUUGAAAAAGUUGGUGGUGAAAUCCCAGAGCUUAACUCUGGAACUGCCAUCAAAACUUUUCAGCUAGAGUUUGAUAGAGGAAAGCAGAAUUUCUAGUGUAGAGGUGAAAUUCGUAGAUAUUAGAAAGAAUACCAAUUGCGAAGGCAGCUUUCUGGAUCAUUACUGACACUGAGGAACGAAAGCAUGGGUAGCGAAGAGGAUUAG